GACGAACGCUGGCGGCGUGCUUAACACAUGCAAGUCGAACGGAAAGGCCCUGCUUUUGUGGGGUGCUCGAGUGGCGAACGGGUGAGUAACACGUGAGUAACCUGCCCUUGACUUUGGGAUAACUUCAGGAAACUGGGGCUAAUACCGGAUAGGAGCUCCUGCUGCAUGGUGGGGGUUGGAAAGUUUCGGCGGUUGGGGAUGGACUCGCGGCUUAUCAGCUUGUUGGUGGGGUAGUGGCUUACCAAGGCUUUGACGGGUAGCCGGCCUGAGAGGGUGACCGGCCACAUUGGGACUGAGGUACGGCCCAGACUCCUACGGGAGGCAGCAGUGGGGAAUAUUGCACAGUGGGCGGAAGCCUGAUGCAGCAACGCCGCGUGCGGGAUGACGGCCUUCGGGUUGUAAACCGCUUUCGCCUGUGACGAAGCGUGAGUGACGGUAAUGGAUAAAGAAGCACCGGCUAACUACGUG
rnacentral:rRNA from 1 species